CUGACUGACCGAUAGUGAACCAGUACCGUGAGGGAAAGGCGAAAAGAACCCCGGCGAGGGGAGUGAAAAAGAACCUGAAACCGUGUACGUACAAGCAGUGGGAGCACCCUUUGGGUGUGACUGCGUACCUUUUGUAUAAUGGGUCAGCGACUUAUAUUCUGUAGCAAGGUUAACCGAAUAGGGGAGCCGGAGGGAAACCGAGUCUUAACCGGGCGUUAAGUUGCAGGGUAUAGACCCGAAACCCGGUGAUCUAGCCAUGGGCAGGUUGAAGGUUGGGUAACACUAACUGGAGGACCGAACCGACUAAUGUUGAAAAAUUAGCGGAUGACCUGUGGCUGGGGGUGAAAGGCCAAUCAAACCGGGAGAUAGCUGGUUCUCCCCGAAAGCUAUUUAGGUAGCGCCUCGUGAAUUCAUCUCC
rnacentral:rRNA from 1 species